rnacentral:rRNA from 1 species
UCCGUAGGUGAACCUGCGGAAGGAUCAUUAUUGAAUGAACUUGGUGUGGUUGUUGCUGGCCCUUUCGGGGGCAUGUGCACACCCAUCAUCCUCAUCUCUCCACCUGUGCACCUCUUGUAGACUUGGAUUGACUUUCCGAGGCAACUCGGUCGGGAGGACUUGCUGGCAUUAGCUGGCUUUCCUUGCAUUUCCAAGUCUAUGUUUUUUCAUAUACCCCAUUGAAUGUAACAGAAUGGUAACAUAUUGGGCCUUUGUGCCUAUAAAAACUUAUACAACUUUCAGCAACGGAUCUCUUGGCUCUCGCAUCGAUGAAGAACGCAGCGAAAUGCGAUAAGUAAUGUGAAUUGCAGAAUUCAGUGAAUCAUCGAAUCUUUGAACGCACCUUGCGCUCCUUGGUAUUCCGAGGAGCAUGCCUGUUUGAGUGUCAUUAAAUUCUCAACUAUUAUCAGCUUUUGCUAAUGAUGGCUUGGAUAUGGGGGUUUAUUUUGCUGGCUUCUUCACAGAUUGUCAGCUCCCCUUAAAUGCAUUAGCCGGUGCCCCGCGUGGACUGUCUAUUGGUGUGAUAAUUAUCUACGCCGUGGACAUCUACAAUCAUAUGGGUUUGCACUGCUUCCAACCGUCUGUUUACUCAGACAAUACAUGACAAUUUGACCUCAAAUCAGGUAGGACUACCCGCUGAACUUAAGCAUAUCAAUAAGCGGAGGA